UGGGGAAUAUUGCACAAUGGGCGCAAGCCUGAUGCAGCGACGCCGCGUGAGGGAUGACGGCCUUCGGGUUGUAAACCUCUUUGUGCACCAUGAACCGGUAAGUGACGGUACCUGCAGAAGAAGCGCCGGCUAACUACGUG
rnacentral:rRNA from 1 species